rnacentral:rRNA from 1 species
UACAGAGGGGGCAAGCGUUGUUCGGAAUUACUGGGCGUAAAGGGCGCGUAGGCGGCCUUCUAAGUCGAACGUGAAAUCCCCGGGCUCAACCCGGGAACUGCGUCCGAUACUGGAAGGCUUGAAUCCGGGAGGGGGAUGUGGAAUUCCAGGUGUAGCGGUGAAAUGCGUAGAUAUCUGGAGGAACACCGGUGGCGAAGGCGACAUCCUGGACCGGUAUUGACGCUGAGGAGCGAAAGCGUGGGGAGCAAACAGG